AGAGUUUGAUCCUGGCUCAGAAUGAACGCUGGCGGCGUGCCUAACACAUGCAAGUCGGAUGUGCCGCAAGGUGCAUGGCAGACGGGUGAGUAACGCGUAGGGAAUCUACCUUUUUGUGGGGAAUAACGUUCCGAAAGGAAUGGUAAUACCGCAUAAGACCAUGGGCUGGGAUGCCGAUGGUGAAAGCUGGGGACCGCAAGGCCUAGCGCGAGAAGAGGAUCCUGCGUCUGAUUAGCUAGUUGGUGAGGUAACGGCCCACCAAGGCAACGAUCAGUAGCCGGCCUGAGAGGGUGAUCGGCCACACUGGAACUGAGACACGGCCCCGACUCCUACGGGAGGCAGCAGCAAGGAAUUUUCCGCAAUGGGCGAAAGCCUGACGGAGCAACGCCGCGUGUGGGAGGACGCUCUUCGGAGUGUAAACCACUUUUCUUGGGGACGACGAACGACGGUACCCGAGGAAGAAGGACCGGCUAACUACGUGCCAGCAGCCGCGGUAAUACGUAGGGUCCGAGCGUUGUCCGGAGUUACUGGGCGUAAAGCGCGCGCAGGCGGCUGAUCAAGUCUGGCGUGAAAGCCCCCGGCUCAACCGGGGAGGGUCGUCGGAGACUGGUGAGCUUGAGGGCGGUAGGGGCUGGUGGAAUUCCCGGUGUAGUGGUGAAAUGCGUAGAGAUCGGGAGGAACACCCGUGGCGAAGGCGGCCAGCUGGGCCGACCCUGACGCUGAGGCGCGAAGGCGUGGGGAGCGAACGGGAUUAGAUACCCUGGUAGUCC
rnacentral:rRNA from 1 species